AAUCAGUGUCUUCUCAAACAGUGCUAUGACUUCAGCUUCCUCUUAUGUUCAGAGCAUGACAUGCCGCUAUUCUCCAUGGGCAGAGAGGGAGAUUCUGUGUGAAAGAAACUACAUGGAGGUUUCUGUGAGAAGAGGUGUGCCACUUAUUGAGCCAAACUUUGUUCAAGAUGAUCCUGAUUGGUCACUUGCAUACCCUGAGGCAACUGCUGCUGACAACAGCAUCUGGAAAAUUGUGUUCCAUCUCCCAGCAAAUAGAAAGACAACUAUGAUUGUUGCUCAGGCUAUGACAAAUGGCUUGGCAUAAACACUACACCAACUCGAAUUCUGAUUAGAGCUGCAUACAACACCACAGAAAGCCAGCCUCAGGUGAUCCAAACUGUACCAAUGGCUGUGCUAAGAUCAACCACCUUUUAUAAGCAAAGAUGGAUGGUCAUGAUGGUGGACACUGCAGUUACAUGUCCUACUGAUGGAACAGCCUUCACAGAACAGAUGAUUACAUGGAAUGUUCCCCGUGUUCUACCUCCUCUUGUUCCGACACCACAAAUUCCUACCCUUGAUGUUCAAAUGGGAGUUGAUGGCUGCAAGCUUGACCCUGCAACGAUUCAUAAUAGAGAUUAUAAACUGGAUGUCGGUCCCCAGCUAAUCACUGUAAAAAUUCCUGUGGGAGCUGAUGGUGGAUAU